GACAGCCAUACCGAGCUGCUGGAGGAGAGACAGGGGAUGGAGAGAAAAGAAAGAGGGAGAAAUGGAAGAAAAAGAGUAGGAGAUGCAGUGGGAAGGGAAGUAUGAGAGUUAGAAAAGAAGAAAGAAAGAAAGAAAGAAGGAAGUGGGAAACAGUAGAGGACAGUAGCAGGAGAAAGAGAGAGAGAGAGAGAGGGAUAGUUUUGAGGGAUAGUGAACCUACUGUAGAUGAAGGCGCUGUCAGAGCAUCAGCCCUCAGGGACCGCCGGGGGGCCCUGGACCGGCUGAGAGGGAGGACGUGACUGCUUCUGCUGCCUGUUCACGUCAACAUGUGCAGAUAAAGGUGGAGUCAUGGUAUGUCAUCAGCCUCAUGUGAGUGAGCAGUGGAGAAAGCUGCCGUCCAGUGGAGACGCCUAUGCUGCUCCCCGGCCCCCCUUUUAGCCUCUCUGUCCAGUUAGGGGGUUUCUGGUUGGGAACCAGCUUCCCUAACACUGCGGUCAGUGGAAGACAUCAGGUGAGUAUUCUCCGUCCACUACUGCAGAUCGAUGCUCUCUAUCUCUGGCUUGUUUCUGUCCCUGAGUCGGUGGCGACGAUGCCUCUGAGAUGGACCCCCCCCCCCAGUGUGGGAGUGUGUGUGCGGGUGGCGAGGGUCAG